rnacentral:rRNA from 1 species
UGAACGCUAGCGGCAGGCCUAAUACAUGCAAGUCGAGGGGCAGCACGGUUUUCGGACUGGUGGCGACCGGCGCACGGGUGCGUAACGCGUAUGCAACCUACCUACAACAGGGGGAUAGCCCGGAGAAAUCCGGAUUAAUACCCCAUAAUGCAGGGGUGCCACAUGGUACUAUUUGCUAAAGAUUUAUCGGUUGUAGAUGGGCAUGCGUCUGAUUAGUUAGUUGGUGAGGUAACGGCUCACCAAGACUACGAUCAGUAGGGGUUCUGAGAGGAUGAUCCCCCACACUGGUACUGAGAUACGGACCAGACUCCUACGGGAGGCAGCAGUAGGGAAUAUUGGUCAAUGGGCGAGAGCCUGAACCAGCCAUGCCGCGUGCAGGAUGACAGCCUUCUGGGUUGUAAACUGCUUUUAUCAGGGAGGAAAAGGGUGAUGCGUCACCGAUUGACAGUACCUGAAGAAUAAGCACCGGCUAACUCC